rnacentral:lncRNA from 1 species
AUAAAGAAAAUGAAACCUGGAGGAAGGAGUUUCUCAGGAUCAUAUGACUAGCAAAAAAUGGAGCCACAACAUGAAUUCAGAUCUUCUGAUUUCAUAUUCUUACUUUGGAAGAUAAGAUAUUCAGGAUGCUUACUGGGCAGAGGACAAAAGAAAGGUGUCCACAUCUCCAAUUCCCAUCAGAUGAGCUAUUUUAGAAACCUGCAGCAAGUCGGACUCCAUCAAAUUAUUGACACAACCUCUCCAUGUGGAAGAUGUUCAAGAUCUUACUUUUGGGAAAAUUAUAAUGACAGAUACCUUUGCCAGUCUGCUGAAGCUCAUGGAUCCCUUCUCAGAAUAAACUUUUUAAAUAUAUAAAUAAGAUACAUUGGAUUAUAAAAUAAACUCAUUAUAUUGAAAUACA